CAGCAAUGCCGCGUGUGUGAAGAAGGCCUUCGGGUUGUAAAGCACUUUUAUCGGGAGCGAAAUACCAUGGGUUAAUAACCGGUGGGGCUGACGGUACCCGAGGAAUAAGCACCGGCUAACUUCGUGCCAGCAGCCGCGGUAAUACGAAGGGUGCAAGCGUUAAUCGGAAUUACUGGGCGUAAAGGGUGCGUAGGCGGUUUGUUAAGUCUGUCGUGAAAUCCCCGGGCUCAACCUGGGAAUGGCGAUGGAAACUGGCAGGCUAGAGUGUGUCAGAGGAUGGUGGAAUUCCCGGUGUAGCGGUGAAAUGCGUAGAGGUCGGGAGGAACAUCAGUGGCGAAGGCGGCCAUCUGGGACAACACUGACGCUGAAGCACGAAAGCGUGGGGAGCAAACAGGAUUAGAUACCCUGGUAA
rnacentral:rRNA from 1 species